GCGUCAGUGGUUCAAAGGGUUACAGUACGCGAUGCCGGAUAGGUCGACGUGUGGGUUCGAGUCUCGCCUGACGCA